rnacentral:rRNA from 1 species
AUAGCAUAUCAAUAAGCGGAGGAAAAGAAACCAACAGGGAUUGCCCUAGUAACGGCGAGUGAAGCGGCAACAGCUCAAAUUUGAAAUCUGGCUCUUUUAGAGUCCGAGUUGUAAUUUGCAGAGGGCGCUUUGGCGUUGGGAGCGGUCCAAGUUCUUUGGAACAGGACGUCACAGAGGGUGAGAAUCCCGUACGUGGUCGCUAUCCUUCGCCGUGUAAAGCCCCUUCGACGAGUCGAGUUGUUUGGGAAUGCAGCUCUAAAUGGGAGGUAAAUUUCUUCUAAAGCUAAAUACUGGCCAGAGACCGAUAGCGCACAAGUAGAGUGAUCGAAAGAUGAAAAGCACUUUGGAAAGAGAGUCAAAUAGCACGUGAAAUUGUUGAAAGGGAAGCGCUUGCAGCCAGACUUGCCUGUAGUUGCUUAUCUGGACUUUUGUCCAGUGCACUCUUCUGCGGGCAGGCCAGCAUCAGUUUGGGCGGUUGGAUAAAGGUCUCUGUCAUGUACCUCCUUUCGGGGAGGCCUUAUAGGGGAGGCGACAUGCAACCAGCCUGGACUGAGGUCCGCGCAUCUGCUAGGAUGCUGGCGUAAUGGCUGUAAGCGGCCCGUCUUGAAACACGGACCAAGGAGUCUAACAUCUAUGCGAGUGUUUGGGUGUCAAGCCCAGACGCGUAAUGAAAGUGAACGGAGGUGGGAACCUUUUAGGUGCACCAUCGACCGAUCCUGAUGUCUUCGGAAGGAUUUGAGUAAGAGCAUAGCUGUUGGGACCCGAAAGAUGGUGAACUAUGCUUGAAUAGGGUGAAGCCAGAGGAAACUCUGGUGGAGGCUCGCAGCGGUUCUGACGUGCAAAUCGAUCGUCAAAUUUGGGCAUAGGGGCGAAAGACUAAUCGA